UCCCCCACCUCCCUCCUCCGCCCACUGUUUACCGGUGUUGUGUCAGUGCCUGUGGGAUGGAGUUACAGUUGUAGGGCACUUUCCUCCAUCUGGAUGCUUCCUCGAGCUCUUUUUCGUGUCCUGUCCCAUGCAGAGGGUCCUGCAUCCUCCCUCCCAGUCUGACUCCAGUCCACUCCAGUGUUAGUGAGUUUUAGAUCCAGAGACACAGAGAGUGUGUGAGAGAGUUGUUCAGUUCCUCGGACAGGAUGAAGCUGCGCUCCGCGUGCGUCCCCCUGCUGCUCCUCGCGCUGUUGGCCGGUCAGCACGGCGGGUCCCGGGUCCGGCUGGCGCGGCUGGACCGCUGGGUGAAGGCUGCCUUCCAGUACGUGAAGCUGAGCCUGUGCCGCAGGGUCAGUCUGCCGGACGGCGAGUGCUCCAGACUGGCCCACCUCCGCCUGUCCGGAGUGGUGGUCUACGUGUCCGAGUCCGGCCCGGAACAAGUUCUGGCCAUCCUGCCGGACUCCCAGUCCACCGGCUCCCCGGCAGCGGCUUCGGACGAGCCCGGGGCCAACCGGGAGCUGUUCCCCGGAGCCAGCGCGCACGACGCCGUCCUGGUGCUGGACCCCAGCCCGGAGGAGAGCUUCGGACACCCCGUGGUUCUCUUCUACCUGGACUUUAACGUGACCAAGAAGAAGUGCGGACACAUGGACGGGGUUUAUCUGGGAGAGGAGUGUCUGAGGUUGGCCCUGAAAACUCGCUGCCAGAACCAGCUGAAGCGGAGACGGAGCCGCAGUGACCGCAUGGCAGGGAGAACACGGUUCCGCAGGAGUGCCCUGUCCAGAGGAGGCAGAGUGGAGCGCAGCAGUGGCCUGUGUGAGAUCCACUUUUUGCCCCUUGUGGUUGGAGUGGGGGACAGCAACCGUACCCAGCGCCUACGCUGUGUGGAACAUCCAGAGUUCGCCAGAUGCCCACAGCCCUUACCCCUCACCAGGCCCAGCGUGCCCAUCUCCAGCUGUGAGCUGAAUAAAAACCCCCGCCGAUGCCACCAGCAGCCCCUCGCCACACACCUCUCCUGCCGCCUCUACCAGACCUGUGACCAUGCAGUCCUGCUCUCAGGUGGCUGGCAGGAGCAGAUCACAUACCAGCGCCAUGUGCAGAACCUGCUGGUCUUUUACAGGAUGCUGAGGAACAACGGCUUCCAUAAGGAUCACAUCAAAACCUUCUUUGCUGGAAAUGGUCAAGUAGCAGCUAAAGAAGCAGAAGGGAUGUAUCCAGCCACAGAGAAGGAGGUGAUCAGGAACCACAUCUCCUAUAUCUGCCGCAAGCAGCACUGUGCAGACACCCUGGUCCUCUACCUGAACAGCCCCACCCGCAACGAUGGGACCAUGCUGCUGUGGGACCGCAACAACAAUGGCAUCGCGGAUCUGAAGGAGCGCUACACGGUGGGGGAGCUGCUGGCUGACCUGGCGGGCUGCAGGGCCAGUCGAGUGCUGCUCUUUGUGGAGCAGAGCUACACCUCUGUUCUCAGUAAGAGACUGAGGAGCUCUCUCAAACACCUCAACGUGGUGCUGCUCAACGGCCUGCCCUGGGUGGACACAGCGCAGUUCUGGGCCUCUCUGCCUCCAUCCCACUGCCUUAUAGACCACCUGAGUAAGAGUGCAGUGAUGCCUCGUGUGGAUGAUGCAGCAGCCAGCCUGCUGAACGUCACCCUGGCUGGAGCUCCCUGUAACUCCACACCUCCUCUAACUGAGGCCGAGAUGAGGAAGGAGUAUAUGGGUUGCCAGAACCUGCCCACAGCCCUGUGGCACCAGGGCCGCCGCAAGCCUGAUGACAGCAUGAGGAACUGAGAGGAGAGAGAGAGUGAGAGGUCGAGAGAGAAAGAAAGAGAUUAUGCUGCUUCUUCUAGCACACCAUCCCAGUCAUCCAGCACUCAACCACCAACAGAAUCCAGAAUGGCAAACGUGGCUUAGCUCUUCUUCAGUUGACUCUUCUUUGACUCCUCUUCAUUUUCAUGUUUAAUCCUAGAUUCUUUAGGACAGUUCAUUUUUAGAAGGCUACUGAGUGAGAACACAAAUCAAAUGAACAGUUAUAAAUUAUUUUUGCUCAUGUUCAAUUCAAACCAUCAUGAAUCGGAUCCAGAACCUCCAGUGGAUGGAGAGAAAAAGGCCAGUAUGGACACAGAGGGAGCGAGGGAAGAUGAGGAUUAGGAAGCUGCAAGAAAGUGUAUGAUGUCCUCACACUGAACUCCAGCUCUCCCUGCUAUGCACUCUUCAGCAGGCCCUCUUGCUCUUGGCUUUUUCUCUACCCGCCGUGGGGGUUCAGCGGGCGGGCAGCGCCGCUCUCCAGCCGGAGCGUCCUUCCGCGGGUCAGCGCGCAAGCCACGGCUGGAGAUGAACAAUGGUGACAACGCCACUCAGCCGCACACCUCACGCCUACUUUAACAUUUCAGGACAAAUCUACAGUUCCCUCUCAGACGGCCUGGAGGAACGGAGGCCCGGCUAUGAUUUAGUCAUGAGAACUGUUCCUUCGGCGGGCGCCGUCCCCGACGCUGUCCCUUGCAAGGCCACUUUAGAGCUCUCUCCUACACUUACAGGCUCUUGCUAACCACUCUGCAACCAGCAUGCCCUCAAACCCCUCGCCCACGUCAGCAGCGUCGGCCUAUAGGAGAACACAUGGAGGAUACGGAGCUGUCCCGCUGGUGUCUGCCGGGAUUUCAGUACAAACUCUCAAAAAUUAAUCAAGGCCAUUGCAGGUUUAAAGAAGUAACGAGCAAAGUGGACAUCUCUAUGCCACAGCCAAGCACCUCCCCCUGCAGCCAGGCGAAAGUCUAUUGGUGUGCUAUAAAAAGAAAAAAGGACAUUGUGAGAGCGAGGUCAGUUAUUGCUGACUUUCACAUGCCUUCCUUCCCCCUUUCUCUUGUACAAAUUCCCAUUAAAUCAUGUUCUCAGUGUAUUUAGGUAAACAUAGUUUAACAGACUAUAUAAAUAUAUAAAAGCUUUAACGUCAGUAAAGUCAACGGAUACUGUUUUUGUACAGACAACAAAGUAUGUGCUUCAUUCUGUAAAUAUCUGUCGUGUUCUGCUAAACAAAUGAUGAUGUCAAGACGAUGUCGAGUAAUGUCGAGUAAGAGGUUGAUAAAUGUCCUCAUUGCUGUUGCUGUUGUGUGUUAAACCAUAGUGUGUGUGUAUGUGUGUGUUUGAACUGAUGUAAAUACUUAAAAUAAAUUAACUUUUGUACAUAGCUAGGGUUGUAUU
ensembl:lncRNA